GUUAUAUGGUCAAGAAGAGAAGCGCAAACGGUGGAUGCCUUGGCAGUAAGAGGCGAAGAAGGACGUGGAAUCCUGCGAAAAGCUUUGGGGAGCUGGAAACGAGCGAUGAUCCGAAGAUGUCCGAAUGGGGGAACCCGGCACCAUGUGAAUGGUGUCACUUAUGACUGAAUACAUAGGUUAUGAGAGCGAACCUGGGGAACUGAAACAUCUAAGUACCUGGAGGAAAAGAAAUCAAACGAGAUUCUCUUAGUAGCGGCGAGCGAAGGGGGAAGAGCCUGGUGUGAUUUAUCAUGACAUGAAGUGGAACGACUUGGGAAAGUUGACCGUAGGGGGUGAUAGUCCCGUACACGUAGAUGUUAUGAAGAACUAAGCACACGAGCAAGUAGGUCGGGACACGUGAAAUUCUGACUGAAUAUGGGUGGACCAUCAUCCAAGGCUAAAUACUACUUACUGACCGAUAGUGAACCAGUACCGUGAGGGAAAGGCGAAAAGAACCCCGGAGAGGGGAGUGAAAUAGAACCUGAAACCGUUUGCG
rnacentral:rRNA from 1 species